rnacentral:rRNA from 1 species
UACAGAGGGUGCAAGCGUUAAUCGGAAUUACUGGGCGUAAAGCGUGCGUAGACGGUUAUUUAAGUCAGGUGUGAAAGCCCCGGGCUCAACCUGGGAAUUGCAUUUGAGACUGAAUAGCUAGGGUGCGGAAGAGGGAAGCGGAAUUUCCGGUGUAGCGGUGAAAUGCGUAGAUAUCGGAAGGAACACCAGUGGCGAAAGCGGCUUCCUGGUCCAGCACCGACGUUCAGGCACGAAAGCGUGGGGAGCAAAAGGG